UACGGAGGGGGCUAGCGUUGUUCGGAAUUACUGGGCGUAAAGCGCACGUAGGCGGCUAUUCAAGUCAGAGGUGAAAGCCCAGGGCUUAACCCUGGAAUUGCCUUUAAGACUGCAUCGCUAGAAUCGUGGAGAGGUGAGUGGAAUUCCGAGUGUAGAGGUGAAAUUCGUAGAUAUUCGGAAGAACACCAGUGGCGAAGGCGACUCACUGGACACGUAUUGACGCUGAGGUGCGAAAGCGUGGGGAGCAAACAGG
rnacentral:rRNA from 1 species